GGAUAAAUUUCUCCGUAGGGGAACUUGCGGAGGGAUCAUUACACAAAUAUGAAGGCGGGCUGGAACCUCUCGGGGUUACAGCCUUGCUGAAUUAUUCACCCUUGUCUUUUGCGUACUUCUUGUUUCCUUGGUGGGUUCGCCCACCACUAGGACAAACAUAAACCUUUUGUAAUUGCAAUCAGCGUCAGUAACAAAUUAAUAAUUACAACUUUCAACAACGGAUCUCUUGGUUCUGGCAUCGAUGAAGAACGCAGCGAAAUGCGAUAAGUAGUGUGAAUUGCAGAAUUCAGUGAAUCAUCGAAUCUUUGAACGCACAUUGCGCCCUUUGGUAUUCCAAAGGGCAUGCCUGUUCGAGCGUCAUUUGUACCCUCAAGCUUUGCUUGGUGUUGGGCGUCUUGUCUCUAGCUUUGCUGGAGACUCGCCUUAAAGUAAUUGGCAGCCGGCCUACUGGUUUCGGAGCGCAACACAAGUCGCACUCUCUAUCAGCAAAGGUCUAGCAUCCAUUAAGCCUUUUUUUCAACUUUUGACCUCGGAUCAGGUAGGGAUACCCGCUGAACUUCACCAUAUCAAUAAGCGGAGGAAA
rnacentral:rRNA from 1 species